rnacentral:rRNA from 1 species
GAGGCCCUAUACUGCAAGUCGAGCGGACUUGACGGAAGCUUGCUUCCGUUCAAGUUAGCGGCGGACGGGUGAGUAACACGUGGGUAACCUGCCUGUAAGACUGGGAUAACUCCGGGAAACCGGGGCUAAUACCGGAUAUUCUUUUUCUUCGCAUGAAGAAGAAUGGAAAGGCGGCUUUUAGCUGUCGCUUACAGAUGGACCCGCGGCGCAUUAGCUAGUUGGUGAGGUAACGGCUCACCAAGGCAACGAUGCGUAGCCGACCUGAGAGGGUGAUCGGCCACACUGGGACUGAGACACGGCCCAGACUCCUACGGGAGGCAGCAGUAGGGAAUCUUCCGCAAUGGACGAAAGUCUGACGGAGCAACGCCGCGUGAGUGAAGAAGGUUUUCGGAUCGUAAAGCUCUGUUGUCAGGGAAGAACAAGUACGGAAGUAACUGUCCGUACCUUGACGGUACCUGACCAGAAAGCCACGGCUAACUACGUGCCAGCAGCCGCGGUAAUACGUAGGUGGCAAGCGUUGUCCGGAAUUAUUGGGCGUAAAGCGCGCGCAGGCGGCUUCUUAAGUCUGAUGUGAAAGCCCACGGCUCAACCGUGGAGGGUCAUUGGAAACUGGGAGGCUUGAGUGCAGAAGAGGAGAGCGGAAUUCCACGUGUAGCGGUGAAAUGCGUAGAGAUGUGGAGGAACACCAGUGGCGAAGGCGGCUCUCUGGUCUGUAACUGACGCUGAGGCGCGAAAGCGUGGGGAGCGAACAGGAUUAGUACCUUGGGUUAUCCAAA